CCUUUCAAAAAGUACUCAUUUUAGAGGCUACUAAUAAAUAAACAAACUCGCAUCAUAGAUGCCGUACUUGUUCUCUUCUAACUGGCUUCUGAUUCCAGUAACAUUAGAGAGUUGGCAGACUAGAGAUAUUCAGCUACUCUCUAAAGAGUGCCGACCACAACAACAACUAAAAAGGUUAGACCGUGGAAGAUGAGAAGGGUACGUUGACCUUUCCGUUGAGCAACCACGAGACAUCUUUGUAUAGGGCAAAUGCUUUUCAUUAUUGAGGA
ensembl:ncRNA T28B11.25 ncRNA